GAUGAACGCUGGCGGCGUGCCUAAUACAUGCAAGUCGAGCGAACGGACGAGAAGCUUGCUUUUCUGAUGUUAGCGGCGGACGGGUGAGUAACACGUGGAUAACCUACCUAUAAGACUGGGAUAAAUUCGGGAAACCGGAGCUAAUACCGGAUAAUAUUUUGGACCGCAUGGUUCAAAAGUGAAAGACGGUCUUGCUGUCACUUAUAGAUGGAUCCGCGCUGCAUUAGCUAGUUGGUAAGGUAACGGCUUACCAAGGCAACGAUGCAUAGCCGACCUGAGAGGGUGAUCGGCCACACUGGAACUGAGACACGGUCCAGACUCCUACGGGAGGCAGCAGUAGGGAAUCUUCCGCAAUGGGCGAAAGCCUGACGGAGCAACGCCGCGUGAGUGAUGAAGGUCUUCGGAUCGUAAAACUCUGUUAUUAGGGAAGAACAUAUGUGUAAGUAACUGUGCACAUCUUGACGGUACCUAAUCAGAAAGCCACGGCUAACUACGUG
rnacentral:rRNA from 1 species